rnacentral:rRNA from 1 species
GAUGAACGCUGGCGGCGUGCCUAAUACAUGCAAGUCGAGCGAACAGAUGAGGAGCUUGCUCCUCUGACGUUAGCGGCGGACGGGUGAGUAACACGUGGAUAACCUACCUAUAAGACUGGGAUAACUUCGGGAAACCGGAGCUAAUACCGGAUAAUAUAUUGAACCGCAUGGUUCAAUAGUGAAAGACGGUUUUGCUGUCACUUAUAGAUGGAUCCGCGCCGCAUUAGUUAGUUGGUAAGGUAACGGCUUACCAAGGCGACGAUGCGUAGCCGACCUGAGAGGGUGAUCGGCCACACUGGAACUGAGACACGGUCCAGACUCCUACGGGAGGCAGCAGUAGGGAAUCUUCCGCAAUGGGCGAAAGCCUGACGGAGCAACGCCGCGUGAGUGAUGAAGGUCUUCGGAUCGUAAAACUCUGUUAUUAGGGAAGAACAAAUGUGUAAGUAACUAUGCACGUCUUGACGGUACCUAAUCAGAAAGCCACGGCUAACUACGUG